UACGUAGGGGGCGAGCGUUAUCCGGAAUUAUUGGGCGUAAAGAGUGCGUAGGUGGUUACCUAAGCGCAGGGUUUAAGGCUACGGCUUAACUGUAGUUCGCCCUGCGAACUGGGCAACUUGAGUGCAGGAGAGGAAAGCGGAAUUCCUAGUGUAGCGGUGAAAUGCUUAGAUAUUAGGAGGAACACCAGUGGCGAAGGCGGCUUUCUGGACUGAAACUGACACUGAGGCACGAAAGCGUGGGGAGC
rnacentral:rRNA from 1 species